rnacentral:rRNA from 1 species
GUGAGUAACACGUAUCCAACCUGCCCUUUACUCGGGGAUAGCCUUUCGAAAGAAAGAUUAAUACCCGAUGGUAUAACAUGACCUCCUGGUUUUGUUAUUAAAGAAUUUCGGUAGAGGAUGGGGAUGCGUUCCAUUAGGCAGUUGGCGGGGUAACGGCCCACCAAACCUUCGAUGGAUAGGGGUUCUGAGAGGAAGGUCCCCCACAUUGGAACUGAGACACGGUCCAAACUCCUACGGGAGGCAGCAGUGAGGAAUAUUGGUCAAUGGGCGAGAGCCUGAACCAGCCAAGUAGCGUGAAGGAUGACCGCCCUAUGGGUUGUAAACUUCUUUUAUAUGGGAAUAAAGUUUGCCACGUGUGGCAUUUUGUAUGUACCAUAUGAAUAAGGAUCGGCUAACUCCGUGCCAGCAGCCGCGGUAAUACGGAGGAUCCGAGCGUUAUCCGGAUUUAUUGGGUUUAAAGGGAGCGUAGGUGGACAUGUAAGUCAGUUGUGAAAGUUUGCGGCUCAACCGUAAAAUUGCAGUUGAUACUGCGUGUCUUGAGUACAGUAGAGGUGGGCGGAAUUCGUGGUGUAGCGGUGAAAUGCUUAGAUAUCACGAAGACUCCGAUUGCGAAGGCAGCUCACUGGACUGCAACUGACACU